rnacentral:rRNA from 2 species
UACAGAGGUCUCGAGCGUUGUUCGGAUUUACUGGGCGUAAAGGGAGCGUAGGCGGUUCGGUAUGUCGAAUGUGAAAGCCCACAACUCAACUGUGGAAAUGCAUUCGAAACUGCCGGGCUAGAGUACUGGAGAGGAGAGCGGAAUUCUUGGUGUAGCGGUGAAAUGCGUAGAUAUCAAGAGGAACACCGGUGGCGAAGGCGGCUCUCUGGACAGAUACUGACGCUGAGGCUCUAAAGUUAGGGGAGCAAACAGG